AUGCCUGUUGCGAUGACUGUGCCUGUCAAGUUACGUGGAGCUUCGAUCAAGGAUUUCCUGAGCCUGCUGGAUUUACAGUGAUAUUUGGCCAUCUGGGGAUUAACGCUGGUGGAAGCAUGCACUGGAAUUAAACACGCCCGGCACACUUCAGGAUGCUGACAGUGGUUUUGAGGAAGGCCCUGGCUGAGUGCCUCAUGGAUUCUUACAGCCCGAUGCCUGUGGGGGACAGAGGUCCACAGCUGCCUGCGAGGGCUGAGGUCUCUGGUUGGGUCUCUGCCAGCUCCCUCUGGGGCCUCCUAUGAACAAUCCUGUUACACCUGGGAUUUAGGUGCUCUUCAUCUGAAAAAAAUACGUAUUCCUUGAGCACUCCAGAAGGAUUUAAGGACCACGCUUCCCUGAACUAAAGCGGGAAUACUGUGGGAUUGGAGAAUUAAGAUUGUCUUUGGUUUUGCUGCCGUUACAAAGGAGACAGCAUGAAUUCUCCUACAGCCUCACCACAGUGCAAGUUCUGGGAGGGAGACAAAGACAUGUCAUAGCAUCUACUACCCUCAAGACACUCACAACUGAAUAAGCUACCCAGGUCACACGGCGUGCUUACCUGGCCAGAAAGUGAUGACUUUCCAAAUCGGAGCUCCAUGCUGUGGGAGUCUGAAGUGCAGAGGGUCUGAUGUCCCACUCCAGAAAGUGAACACUCUACAGCUCUGGGCAUGCACAAUCUCUGCAGGACACGCAGUGAUUUGACAGCUGCAUUCCUUCAUCCAUUUUGGGGAGAUCCGAGGAACCCUUGUACCAGAGUCACCUGGGGGCGAGUAUUGAAAAUGUCAGCUCCUGGACCCCAGCCCAGAACCACUGAAUCAGAUGCUGGGUGUCAGCUCUGAGCCCUGCUUGGCCUUUUCUUUCCCAUGUCAACCCAGCAGAGCUGCAGACCCGGUAUAGAGAGCAAGCCUGGGAAUGGCAAUAAUUUUGAACUCUGCGGAAACUGGGCCUUAAGAGGCAGCUGAACAAGACCACUCCUCCGUGAGCAAGGCCUUUGCAAGCUCCUGCCGGUCUCUCAUUUGCUAGCACCCCAUUGGCUGAGGCACAUCUGAACGUGAUUCCUGGGUGGCCAGCGUCAAAGGCUGGGCAACCAUCUGCUUUGCAGCCCCACUCCUCAACCAUGCCGAGUGGAAAGCUUAAAGCCUCCCCGCUGGGUCCCUGACUGAUUCAGGCAAGGUCCACAUGGAGGGCCCUGGAUUUGAAUCUUGAUUCUGGCAUGCAUUUGCUGUGUGGUAAUAGAGGUCAUGUCCAAAUUCUGAAAGCACAGUUCUGCUCAUGUCCCUGGACAGCUCAGAAACAGCCAGCAGCUCCCUGACAUCUGCAGGCUUGAAGUCAGACCUCUCAGCAAGGCAUUUAAGUCCUACCUCAGCAUCACUCCAGCCUGUGAAUCCACCCGAUCCACCACCUUUAAGUCUCUCAAGUGGGGAAUUGGUCCCGGGGCAAAGUGGAGUCUGCUGGACUUUUCCCACUGUGGAAAGGAGGUUGCUAUGGCAAUGACCUGUGCCUGAGAUGAAGUUGAAGUUGAAUAAUGGGAAGAACUUGACGAUUCUUUGCAGAUCAGCACACUUAUGUAGAGAACUGAGGCUCAGAGAGUUCUAUAGGUUGGCUGAGCUCUGCCGGGUGGUUCUGCUUCACAUGGAGGCAUUUGGAGUCUUGUGUGGCUGCGUAUCGUGGAGUCUGGAGGUUCCCCUGUGGUGGCUGGACUGGCUGGUGUCCUCUCGCUCUUUCCAUGAGGUCUCUCAUCAUGAGAAAACUGCUACUCAGAAAUGUUAAAUAACCCAGCCCAGCUGACAAGCAGCACCAAUGAAAGUCCAAGUGCAAAAGGCAGUUCCAGGUCACCGUAGCCGGCUCCGUGAGCUGAUGGAUGAAUGUGGUCUUCCUGGAAUGAAACGUGUCCCUGUGCUGGUAAUGAACGGAUUGGAAGGCAAGUGUCAUUUUCUCUUCUCUUUCCUGCUUUAUCUCUGAGAUUUUAAUCCCAGCUUCUUCUUUUCAGGAGACUGCUAUGCCCUCGACGCGGGAGAUAGCCCCAGCAGUAACACUGAUGCAGAGGGAAUUGAAUACUUUUUCCAAGAGGAUAGAAGACACAUGGAACUGGAAAAAAGAGCCCUGAAAAUUGCCACAUUUCCCCCAUAAAGGAGAGCAUAUCCCCCUCCCCCUUUUGUCCCCGUUCUCCCAUAAUGCAUAAUACAUAAUACAUUUCACCAGUGAUUUGGCCACUGCUGAGCCAUCUUCAUUUAAUGUGGUUUUUACAGAAGAGUCGGUCUGGAAAUUUUAUUUUCAAUUAAACUUACUUGUAGAA